rnacentral:rRNA from 1 species
CACGUAGGCGGGUCUGCAAGUCAGAUGUGAAAUGCCGGGGCUUAACCCCGGAGCUGCAUUUGAAACUGUAGGUCUUGAGUGUCGGAGAGGAAAGCGGAAUUCCUAGUGUAGCGGUGAAAUGCGUAGAUAUUAGGAGGAACACCAGUGGCGAAGGCGGCUUUCUGGACGAUAACUGACGCUGAGGCGCGAAAGUGUGGGGAGCAAACA